UAGUUCAGUGGUGGAAUCCUUGUCUACCACACAGGAUUCCUGGGUUCAAUUCCUAG
rnacentral:tRNA from 1 species